AGAAUCAUUGAAAUAAUUAAGUGCCUCAAAUUUUUUCUUGCUUUAAUUAACUGAUUAUAUUAGAGAAAAAUGGGUGGGGGGGAAUUGGAUAUUUUAGAUUCAUCUUUUUUUUUUUUCAACGUUUAUUCAUUUAUUUUUGGGACAGAGAGAGACAGAGCAUGAACGGGGGAGGGGCAGAGAGAGAGGGAGACACAGAAUCGGAAACAGGCUCCAGGCUCUGAGCUGUCAGCACAGAGCCCGACGCGGGGCUCGAACUCCUGGACCACGAGAUCGUGACCUGGCUGAAGUCGGACGCUUAACUGACUGCGCCACCCAGGCGCCCCUAUUCGUAGCUUUUGAAAUGACUGACACCUGCUCUUCCUGGACACACCUCCAUGUCUUGGUUUCAUGACCCCACACUUGCCUCUGUUGCUGCUUCUCCAUAUGUUUGCUGAUUCUUCCUCAUCUCUCCAACCUCUACUUACGGGAGGGUUCUUAGGACUCAGGCCUCGUCCAUUUCUUUUCUUUUUUCUCCCCCUCCUUUGUUUCAUCUAUAUUCAUCAUUUAGGUAAUCUCAUCUAGUCUCACAAAUUGAAAUACCAUUUUUAUGCUGGCGGUGUUGUUCCAAAUUUUAUCUCUAGAUCAUCAGUUGAAUUCCAAACUAACAAUCCAUCUACCCACUUUAAGCCUUCUAUUUAGCAUAUCCCAAACUGAGCUCCAGAUAUUCACAACCCUACCCCACUCCCUACCCCUAACCAGCUACUCCUGUAGUAUUCCUUCUACUAGUGAAAGGCAUUGCCCAUCUUCUAAUUCAGGGGUCACCAGAUCUGUCCCAGAGCCUGUUGAUAUAUUGUCUAUGGCUAUUGCUAUGCUACAAAAGUAGAGCUGAGCAGUUGCAACAUUUGCCAUAUUUACUAUUCAUUCCUUCACAGAAGAAAUUUACCGACUGCUCUUGUAGUCGCUCAGGCCAAAAAAUCUAAGUAGUCAUCUCUACUCUUUCUUUGCUUCAUUAUCUUAUCUGCUCCUCCCCAAAUCUUGUUGACCCUACCUUCAAAAUACUGCAUAUUCAGAAUAUAACCACUGAUCACCACCACUAUUGCUACCACCUCAGUCAAAGCCACUACCAUAUGUUAUCUAGGUUAUUGGAAGAGACUCCUAACUGAGGCAGGGCUUCACAGGUACGAAGCCUUAAUAUAUGCAUUAAUGAGGGUAUGGAUAAAAGAUACGUAUUCAGAUUUGAGUAAGAGUACUUAAAUAUGAUUGGUGGUUAGGAAAGAAAGUUUCAGUGCUUUAAAUCUAUGCAUGGCUAAAUCUGCACUGUGAAACUGUACUUGACUCAAGUGCUUUGAAGACAUUAGAGCUCUGUAUAAAUAUAGUCACUCUCAAAUGACUGUGUUGGGGGGAUGGGCUAAUAAGGAAAAUGAAUCAAGUAGUGUUGGGUAUAAGAUGGAAAAGUACUGUUGCUGCUGGACCUCUGGAUAGUUAGUUUUCUGGGAGAAAAAGAGAGAGAGAAAGACUUAGAAAUGAGCAAAUUUAUCUCCCAGAUAGUUUUCUGGGAGAAAAAGAGAGAGAGAAAGACUUAGAAAUGAGCAAAUUUAUCCCAUCCAAAGAGGCUACUCCUCUCUAACCAAUUGCUGACAAGUAUGAAGUGGGCUCAAUAUCUCUAGAACUUUUCACUCCGCAGGAUAAUCUAGAAAUCCUGAUGUAUAUGUGAAAUGUAUCAACUUUAACAUUUGGCAAAUAAUUUUUUUAAUAUGCUCACUAAUUAGAAUGGUUGUUGAGACUACAGCUUAUGAACUCUGAGUAAGGUAUAAUUAUGUUUACAUAGAUGUGGCAUCUUCCCUCCUAAUAUCCAUGGACACUGGCAGGGAAGAGUGACCCAGGAGCCACCUUUGCCCCAAAACUCCUACAACAGACUUACCACACAAGGACUGCUAUUUUAUCCUCAACAAUGAAAAAUGCAAGAAAUACAAAUUUCUAGAUUAACCAAUAAGAUCCUAGGUAAUGCAUUCAUCUAGGCAGCCAGUAAAUUAAUAUUCACUGGGAGGCACUAGGUAUUGUGGGUUCAGCAGUCAGCAGGCCUGACAUGGACUCUAUCUUAAAGUUUAGGGAAGAGACAGGUAACAAAAACACUACCAAAUACAUAAAUGAAUAAUUGCAAAUUGUAAUGCAUCACAUAAAUACAUUAUUAGGUAAUACAUUAUACAUAUAUGUAAUGUAUAUAAUGCAUCAUAUUAAAAUGCUCCAAAAGAAUCAUGUGCUACUUAAAAGUUUGCUUCUUUUAAAGUUUCCUUAGCCAAUCAACCAUAUUCUCAAGUGAACCUUGUUUCAUGUUCUAGAUCCACAGUGUCCACAUGAUGUUUGGUUUUGAAAGCAGGUGGUGAAUACUUUCAAGUGAAAUUUUGCAAUAAUAUAGAAUUAUACUUAGGAUAAUUCUUCUUUUUGCUUAGCCGAUUAAUCCUUUCAAUAUAUAGUUUCUUGACAAAUAAGUGGAUAUUUGAGCCACGUAAUGUUUUCUUCAGCUCACUUUUGUGUCCUAAACCAUGAUUUAAGAAAUUUCUCACCUGGGAAAUUACUCCAGGAUCUCCUGGGGAGCUUUUGAGAAGAUAGAUGCCUAGCCCAAUCCCAGACCUAUCACAUCAAAAUGUUAAGACCGGAGAGCUUGAAUGUGUGCUUGCAAAAAUAGUUCUGUUCUCUUCUGGUUAGAAAUAAUUGUGUAAAGCUUUAUCUGGUGGAGAGUCAUUUUGACUGCAGAGAACUCUGGGCCUCCCCUCCCCUCUCCCAUCCCUACUCACCUCCUUGUCCUGCCAUACCACAUGGGACUUUCAGUAAGAAAGGGAUACUUCUAAUGGUUAACAUCUGUUAAUUGUCACAUAUAAGCAUUUACAUCAGUAUCCUUCCUCUCAACUCUGCCCUAUUACUGAUUGAAGUUUAAAUAAAAUUAAAAAUAGCAUUUUAUCAGAAAAAAAUGUCUCACUGUCACAGACACUGAGUGGUAAACUCUAUGAGGAUGUUUGUUCUCUGUGUUCACAGAAAAUAGAACUAUUGGUGAGAGAGGUAGAGAUAUGGUCGUGUAUGUUGCUAUACAAAUAAGCCAACAUCAUUCACUCUGAGACUGACAAUUUCAGUAGAAAGGAACAUGUAUUCUAUGGCUACACGGAUAUGAAUAACAGAGAUAACAGAGGUAUUUACAGUGCUUUUUUAGAAAUCAUGGAAACUUUAAAUGUCUUUAUUAACUAAGAUAUCACAAAUAACAUAUGGGAAAAACAUAUACAGAACUUUCUGAAAAUCCAAAAUCUUGAAAAAAAAGAUAAAAAUUUUAAAAAUAAGGCAAACACUUUGCAUUAUAAUGACACUGAAUCUGUAUUUAAAAUAUACAUCCGACCUACAUGCAAUUUAUGAGAAUACAAGAAUAUUACACGAAUCAGAGGAGAAGGUGCCCACUGAUUCUGCCAACCUAACUUUAGGAUGCAUCCACAGAAGUAGAAUAAAUGGAGAGUGAUUUGUCAUUGGUACUCUACACUUGACAGGUCACAUGAAUUCUAGGCAUCUAAUUAUCAGAAGAGCAUGCACAUACAGGAACGCCUUGCUCAGAGCCACAUUGCUUCCAUUUCCUGAGACUUUAAUGGGCACCAUUCAUCUGUGUAUGUGUGGUAAAAAGUGUGUGGGGAGUAUACUGAUUUUCCAUUUAUUUAAUAAUACAGUAUUGUACCUUUUCCAGUAUUUUCAGAAAGCAAGUGUCUUUGUACAACCUUCUUGAUAGGCUAUGUUGGAAUACUCUGCAUA